AUGCUCGAUUUGAGAUCUAAAUUUUAUUGUUAAAAAAGGCUAGCUGUUGUCAAAUAAAUUUUGUGAGCAGUUUUAAUACCGAGGGUGUGUCUUAUUUUGUGAGUUUUCAUUGGUUUGGAGUUUUUAGACCCUUCAUUGUUGACCAGUGGAAAACUUCCCGCCGAAGUGUUUCAAAUAGCACUUUGUCUUCAAACGAACAAGAUGGACACAUGCAGUUUACAGAAGCAAAAGAUUUGAUUUGAACUGUUCGUGAAACCACACAUACUCAAGAGAAUUUACAAGACUAUUAUCCACAAAAUGCAACAGUCUUAUUUUGAUGAAUUGUUGAACCAGAGAAAUGUGAAGACUUACAGACACCUAGACUGUAUAGUCAACAUGAUUAGAGAAUCAGACUACAGUGAACAUUACAAUGAUUAGAAAAUCAGACUAGAGUCAACAUUACAAUGAUUAGAGAAUCAGACUAUAGUCAACAUUACAAUGAUUAGAAAAUCAGCCAGCUGCAUUUCAUCAAUCAGUUUAUGAUGAAGCUUUACAGCAUUGGAAAUGAUUACUCAGAGACCAAACAACUGAGCAGAAAGAAGAACCGUAUGACCUUGAAGAGUAAGCAAUGUACAUGUAUUAAGUAUAUUUGGGGUUACCAAAGAGUAUGGUAAGAACCUCAUCUUAAAUUAUACUUGAGUUCUUACAAAGAUGCAUAGAGUUCUUACGAAGAUGUAUAGGUAUGCAGUAUUUAUUAUUUUUGUCUCUGUGUAUUUUUGUCAAUGAGGUAAAACCACAGAACAAAUCAAUCAGAAGUAUUAACUGGUGGAAUUUGAGAACACCCUGGAACACGAGAAAUAUCCUACCUCACAAAAUUUAACAUGAGACAUCUUGUUUUCACCUUUUUUCAAGGAAGCAGCACACACAGUGUAAUCAUGAAGGUAUCCAUGUCCUGGAACAUCUGGGAAUAGCAUAUCUCUAAUAGUAUUUUUACUACUAUCCUCAAAAUUCAAACAAAACAGUCAGAUAUUUUGAUCAACAAGAGGUACAAUCUCAAACCAUGUGGUGAAAAAAGACAACACAUAACCAAAAAAAGUGACGGAAAAUUGUCUACACUGACAACAAAAUAUUAUACAGCAACAACCCAUUCAAAGACCUGAGAGAUUCUCAAGCACCAAUUCAACCAAAGACCAGGGAUGAACUCCAGCACUGAGCACCAACCAAAACAAAGAACAGACAUGAACUAGGGCAAAAAGCACCAACCCAACCAAAGACCUAAGAGGUUUUCAGGCACCAUGCAACCAACUAAACUAAAUAGCCAGGGAUGAUCUCAGACACCAUGCACCAACCUUUCCAAAGAUCAGGGAUGCUUUCAGGCACAACAACCUUACCAAAGACCAGGAAUGAUCUGACACCAAGCACCAACCAAAACAAAAAAAAAGGGUGAUCUCAGACACCACAGAAUGUUAGCAAGUAUUUGAUAUGGUAACUUAUCUACUACUUGUGUAAGUAAAAUGUUUUUUUUUUCAUUCUGUGCUGCAUUUAUUCUAUCAAAAAUUGUCAAAAUGCAACAUGAAAUUUUUAUGUGUUUUUCAUCUCUUUCUUCAAAAUGUUUUACAUAUUGAAAUUUUUUGAAAAUUCCA